AGCAGUAGCCGCGGGAAUACGGAGGGUGCAAGCGUUAAUCGGAAUUACUGGGCGUAAAGCGCACGCAGGCGGUCUGUCAAGUCGGAUGUGAAAUCCCCGGGCUCAACCCGGGAACUGCAUUCGAAACUGGCAGGCUAGAGUCUUGUAGAGGGGGGUAGAAUUCCAGGUGUAGCGGUGAAAUGCGUAGAGAUCUGGAGGAAUACCGGUGGCGAAGGCGGCCCCCUGGACAAAGACUGACGCUCAGGUGCGAAAGCGUGGGGAGCAAACAGGAUUAGAUACCCCUGUAGUCCCUGUCUCUUAUAC
rnacentral:rRNA from 1 species